AGACGAGGCUAGCUCUUCUCCUCAGCCCGAACGGCAUCGAAGUAAAUCAAGCUUCUUAUCCCGAACUCGUU
rnacentral:ncRNA from 1 species